rnacentral:rRNA from 1 species
UAAGCGGAGGAAAAGAAACUAACUAGGAUUCCCUUAGUAACGGCGAGUGAACCGGGAUGAGCUCAAAUUUAAAAUCUGGCGUCUUUCAGGCGUCCGAGUUGUAAUCUAUAGAGGCGUUUUCCGCGCCGGACCGCGUCCAAGUCUCUUGGAAUAGAGUAUCAAAGAGGGUGACAAUCCCGUACUUGACGCGACAACCGGUGCUCUGUGAUACGUUCUCAAUGAGUCGAGUUGUUUGGGAAUGCAGCUCUAAAUGGGUGGUAAAUUCCAUCUAAGGCUAAAUAUUGGCGAGAGACCGAUAGCGAACAAGUACCGUGAGGGAAAGAUGAAAAGCACUUUGGAAAGAGAGUUAAACAGCACGUGAAAUUGUUAAAAGGGAAACGAUUGAAGUCAGUCGUGUGAAAGGUAUUCAGCCGUCUCUGGCGGUGUAUUUGCCUUUCACGGGUCAACAUCAGUUUGAUCCGGUAGAAAAAGGCGGGAGGAAG